rnacentral:rRNA from 1 species
AGCAGUCGCCGCGGGAAUACGAAGGGUGCAAGCGUUACUCGGAAUUACUGGGCGUAAAGCGCACGUAGGCGGCUUGGUAAGUUAGAGGUGAAAGCCCGGAGCUCAACUCCGGAAUUGCCUUUAAGACUGCCGAGCUAGUAGGUGAGAGAGGUAAGUGGAAUUCCGAGUGUAGAGGUGAAAUUCGUAGAUAUUCGGAAGAACACCAGUGGCGAAGGCGGCUUACUGGCUCAUUCUAGACGCUGAGGUGCGAAAGCGUGGGGAGCAAACAGGAUUAGAUACCCGAGUAGUCCCUGUCUCUUAUAA